rnacentral:lncRNA from 1 species
UCCUUGGACGAGAUAUGAUUUGGCGAGAAAAAUAUUGCGGACGAUUUCAUGCUGUCCUUUACCAUGGACCAAUCUCUCAUUCCAUCUUCUAGAGAACUUUGGAUAACUGAUUGGUGGUUUCAUGUAUCAGACAUCAAGCACAUUGAUGACACAAAUCAUAAACAAGGUUACUUUUUUUAAUUUUAUUUACGGGUUCCAAGUUACUUGUUUCUAAAUUGUCAUGGCAGACUUUAUGAGAAGUAAUGUCCUUUCAAGAAAGGAACAAGGUCCCUUAUUUGCUAAUCCAAUAGCUGCUACCCUUGAAUCUCCCCUUUUACUUCCUUAAACGGGCCUUCUUGAUUUGAGCGGAUUUGAGGGUAAUCCUUUGCUUCUUAUUGUGGACUUCAACCAUUGCUGGAAGCCUGGAAACCAACCUUGAGAGCAUGCUGUCAUUCAAGACUGUUGGAAUUGUGUAGUUAGCUAAAUUACAAGUGCAUAUCUGGGCUCCCUUCUUUUCUAUGGCCCCGUUUCCCUAACUAACCACUAACCAACGCCCGCCGGUGGUCACUCACCCGCUGUGAA